ACUUUUUGGUUACAAAGCUGUAAAUAGGUAUAUUACCAUUUACAAAGGCUUUUUAUUAACUGUUUAAACACCUUGACUAUAAAAAAUAACAUUGUUAGCCAUUAAAGCUAAAGUAUGUGGCACCCCCCAAAACUACACCCGCCUUUUUUCCUAGAAAAGGGCCCUUUACACACCCUGUUUUUUUAAAGAAACGCCUUUUUAAAUAUUAAUUUUGGGUGUGGGGGGCAAAACCUUUUUUUUAAAAAAGCAGGUUUAAACCUAUAAAUAGGGGGACAAAAAAAACUGAACAAGGCUGUUAAAGAAAUAUUGCUAAUACAAGACUUCUACCGUUAUGAGGAGCAACAACAUGGACGAGAACUUUUUUCUUGACAUUCCAGAUGCCGCGCUAGAAGCUUUAAAUUUUGACUUAUCAAGCGUUAUUCCUCAAGAAGAAAUGUUGAAGGGAAGAGCGCUUAAAGGGGCCAAGAAAUUUCCAUCUGAGGCAGCUGCAGUCGGAAGC